UUUCCUGUUUGCUGAACUUCGUGGAGUGGAGCUUGUUGUUGGUGUGUGUGAAGAAACUUGUAACAAGUGUCACCUGGCAGUUUGUUGCUCUCUGCCAGGUGAUUGGCUGAAGAGCUGUGAAAAGGUAGUGGGUGUGUGGGGUGAAGUCAGCGCUCUUCUGUCAGGCAAUUAAUUCACUCGGGUGCGAGUGGGUAUACUGUCGAUCGUAGGCCAUGCAUAGCGCUGAUUCCCAGCUGCGCUGAGACCCGAAUUGUUUGCAGUGUCGCUAAGCGGGGUGUGACGGGUUGCAGUGUUGUUAUUUUCGCACCGUUUGUGUGGUGAAGGUAGAAAGUGUGUGUGAGCUGAUGUGAAUUGAGCAGCAUGGAUCAGUGUGAGGACAGA